UUGAUGCCAUGCUUCCAAGAAAAGCUUCUAAGCUUCAGGUAACCAGGAACCGUACCCCAAACCGACACAGGUGGUUGGGUAGAGAAUACCAAGGCGCUUGAGAGAACUCGGGUGAAGGAACUAGGCAAAAUGGCACCGUAACUUCGGGAGAAGGUGCGCCGGUGAGGGUGAAGCAUUUACUGCGUAAGCCCACGCCGGUCGAAGAUACCAGGCCGCUGCGACUGUUUAUUAAAAACACAGCACUCUGCAAACACGAAAGUGGACGUAUAGGGUGUGACGCCUGCCCGGUGCCGGAAGGUUAAUUGAUGGGGUUAGCUAACGCGAAGCUCUUGAUCGAAGCCCCGGUAAACGGCGGCCGUAACUAUAACGGUCCUAAGGUAGCGAAAUUCCUUGUCGGGUAAGUUCCGACCUGCACGAAUGGCGUAACGAUGGCGGCGCUGUCUCCACCCGAGACUCAGUGAAAUUGAAAUCGCUGUGAAGAUGCAGUGUAUCCGCGGCUAGACGGAAAGACCCCGUGAACCUUUACUAUAGCUUUGCACUGGACUUUGAAUUUGCUUGUGUAGGAUAGGUGGGAGGCUUUGAAGCGUGGACGCCAGUCUGCGUGGAGCCAACCUUGAAAUACCACCCUGGCAACUUUGAGGUUCUAACUCAGGUCCGUUAUCCGGAUCGAGGACAGUGUAUGGUGGGUAGUUUGACUGGGGCGGUCUCCUCCUAAAGAGUAACGGAGGAGUACGAAGGUGCGCUCAGACCGGUCGGAAAUCGGUCGUAGAGUAUAAAGGCAAAAGCGCGCUUGACUGCGAGACAGACACGUCGAGCAGGUACGAAAGUAGGUCUUAGUGAUCCGGUGGUUCUGUAUGGAAGGGCCAUCGCUCAACGGAUAAAAGGUACUCCGGGGAUAACAGGCUGAUACCGCCCAAGAGUUCAUAUCGACGGCGGUGUUUGGCACCUCGAUGUCGGCUCAUCACAUCCUGGGGCUGAAGCCGGUCCCAAGGGUAUGGCUGUUCGCCAUUUAAAGUGGUACGCGAGCUGGGUUUAGAACGUCGUGAGACAGUUCGGUCCCUAUCUGCCGUGGACGUUUGAGAUUUGAGAGGGGCUGCUCCUAGUACGAGAGGACCGGAGUGGACGAACCUCUGGUGUUCCGGUUGUCACGCCAGUGGCAUUGCCGGGUAGCUAUGUUCGGAAUAGAUAACCGCUGAAAGCAUCUAAGCGGGAAACUAGCCUCAAGAUGAGAUCUCACUGGAACCUUGAGUUCCCUGAAGGGCCGUCGAAGACUACGACGUUGAUAGGUGGGGUGUGUAAGCGCUGUGAGGCGUUGAGCUAACCCAUACUAAUUGCCCGUGAGGCUUGACCUA
rnacentral:rRNA from 1 species